rnacentral:lncRNA from 1 species
GGAUGAGUAAGCAGUAACAUAGCCAAACAAUGGUUUGGUGUGAUGUGGAUGUUUAGAGGCUUAUGAUGGCAUUUUUUGAGGCUUGACAAGCAAGUGGUAGGUAGCAAUACAUAGCGAUAGAAUCGAGGCAACUAGCAUAGCAAUGAUAGUAGUGGUAUCCAAGAUAAUGAUCAUAUUGCCUGGAAUCCCGCUAGGAAGAAGACAUAAUCCAUGAAGAAGACGUACCAACAUAGUCAAACGCAUCCUCGCAGUCCGACACACUUU